rnacentral:misc_RNA from 1 species
GAUGAAGAACUUAGCGAAAUGCGAUAAGUAAUGUGAAUUGCAGAAUUCAGUGAAUCAUCGAAUCUUUGAACGCACAUUGCGCCCCCUGGUAUUCCGGGGGGCAUGCCUGUCCGAGCGUCAUUACAACCCUCAAGCUCAGCUUGGUGUUGGGCCCCGCCGCCCCGGCGGGCCCUAAAGUCAGUGGCGGUGCCGUCCGGCUCCGAGCGUAGUAAUUCUUCUCGCUCUGGAGGUCCGGUCGUGUGCUCGCCAGCAACCCCCAAUUUUUUUCAGGUUGACCUCGGAUCAGGUAGGGAUACCCGCUGAACUUAAGCAUAUCAAUAAGCGGAGGA